GAGUGUAUUUCUCUGACUUCCCCUAUGACAACCUUGUUGGCAUUGCACACAGACCAUAUACACCACAUACACAAUGCACACACGACACACCAUGCACACUGUGUAUGUAAAUGUGUCUCCAGCAGAUGGAGGAGAGGUAGAGAUAGGGAUAGAGUGGGAUAGAGAGAGGGACAGAGAGAGACAGAGAGAGGGAUAGAGAGAGAGAGGGAGAGACAGAGAGAGAGGGAUAGAGAGAGAGGGAUAGAGAGAGAAAGACAGAGAGAGAGGGAUAGAGAGAGAGGGAUAGAGAGAGAGAGACAGAGAGAGAGGGAUAGAGAGGGAUAGAGAGCGAGAAACAGAGAGAGGGAUAGAGAGAGAGACAGAGAGAGUGGGAUAGAGAGAGGGGAUAGAGAGAGAGAGGGAUAGAGAGAGAAAGACAGAGAGGGAGGCAUAGAGAGAGUUGGAUAGAGAGAAAGGGAUAGAGAGAGAGGGAUAGAGAGAGAGGGAUAGAGAGAGAGAUAGAGAGAGAAGGAUAGCGAGAGAGAGACAGAGAGAGGAUAGAGAGAGAGGGAUAGAGAGAGAGAGACAGAGAGAGGGAUAGAGAGAGAAAGACAGAGAGAGAGGGAUAGAGAGAGAGGGAUAGAGAGAGAGACAGAGAGAGGGGGAUAGAGAGGGAUAGAGAGCGAGAGACAGAGAGAGGGAUAGAGAGAGAGAGACAGACAGAGAGGGAUAGAGAGAGAGGGAUAGAGAGAGGGGAUAGAGAGAGAGGGAUAGAGAGAGAAAGACAGAGAGAGAGGCAUAGAGAGAGUUGGAUAGAGAGAGAGGGAUAGAGAGAGAGGGAUAGAGAGAGAGGGAUAGAGAGAGAGGGAUAGAGAGAGACAGAGAGAGAGGGAUAGAGAGAGAGGGAUAGAGAGAGAGAUAGAGAGAGAAGGAUAGCGAGAGAAAGACAGAGAGAGGAUAGAGAGAGAGGGAUAGAGAGAGAAAGACAGAGAGAGGGAUAGAGAGAGAGGGAUAGAGAGAGAGAGAGAAAGAGAGAGAGGGAUAGAGAGAGAGGGAUAGAGAGAGAGGGAUAGAGAGAGAAAGACAGAGAGAGGGAUAGAGAGAGAGGGAUAGAGAGAGAGAGAGAAAGAGAGAGAGGGAUAGAGAGAGGAAAAAAGAAAAGGAAUAAAUAAUUGGGGGUAAAGAGGAGGGGAGGGGGAUCAGUAAAAAAAGGAUAAUUAAAACCACAAAUAACCAG
rnacentral:lncRNA from 1 species